AUAUUUUUUAAAUGGCUGAUUUUUUUUUUAAUUAGAAGUUUCCCUAUGGGAUAUAGAAUAAAGAUGAAAAACACAAACAUGUCACAUAUUUGCUUUACAAAAUAUUUGGGGUGUGAUAUAUGUGUUGUGGCUAAUUGAGCUACAUAUGACAACCACUGAUCCAAUAAUAUUAAGAGCCUUGGCUUAUAGAGAGCUUACUAUGUACCAGACAUUGUCCACAGUGUCUGUCCAUACAGUAAUUCAGUUAAUCUUCAAAGAAACUCUGUUGAAGAGGUACCGUGACUGUGCCUUUCAGUACUCGGACACUUUAAAUACUCGAGUCUGGAGGACUAAGGUGAACUCCUGGCAGGGAGCAUAAGGAACAAGGCAUUGGCAGCACUGACCACAAUGUAUUUGGAAAAAGGAAGGCUUUAUUUUUCUAAAUGCCCCUGGUUGCUCAAGCUUUUAUUCUAUGGUGCUAUUAUUGCAAAAGUGCUUCUCUGGGAAACUAGGAUUGCCAUCAUAAAGCAGGCUUAUAUUUGCUUCUAGAGGGAGAAAAAGAAAAAAGGUUUUGUAACUCUCCGCUUGCCAGUUUUGCACCCGGUCCCAUGCCUGGCUGUGUUUUCCCCUCCGCUCGCCGUUCUUGACCGAGCUGGUCUGUAGCUUGCGUGCAAACGACAGAGCGUGAGUACCAAUCGCAGCUCAACCUUGGAAAUACGAAGGGGUUGCUCACACCUAUGGCCGUUACCUUCUAAGUUGUUUGUCCCCCGAGCCUCAUUGCCAGGGUUUUCAAGGGAUAUAAGACUCUCCUUUUAAACUUUUACCAUCGGAGUGGGUUUAAUCCACUAAAACCUCAUGUUUGAAAGAAUAAUGGGUAACAUUUCUCUAAGCAAGCCUCUUGGGAGAUUCUCCUAGAGCACAUUUAACAAUGGAAUUUUCCUUGGAAGUGCCACAGUGAAGGUCAUGUUCCCAGAGGGGGUUUCUUGUGGGAAUUGGCAUUGAGCUAGAUUUGCUGCCUCACACCUACUGAGGGUUUUGAGUCCAGAGAGUUAAGUUUGUCAUAGCUGAGGCAUCUUACCUUUGCCAAACUGGUCUAUUGUGUUCAACCUCAGUUGCCAUCAAAACCCGGAAAGAAAAACAUCACAAAUCACUAGAAAUACAUCAGCAUUCUGAGCAGCAGGAUUUAUGGGCCACUAAUGGAUAUCCUAGGCUAGUUACCUUCCCAGUAGCAGUUGAAACACAUCUGCCUUUUUCUUACUGUAAAAGGCCUUUCUGUCAAGGAAUUAUGGAAUCCCCACGCCUGGGAGUGGGGUUGAGGAAAGUUGGUACUCUGGUCCUUGUUUUCUUUUAUAUCUUGCCCUCUUCACCGUUUUGCCUCUUUCUCUUCCUCACUGAAAACCCAAAAUGAGUGUAGUAAGGAUCCAUUCAAGUUUGGAGGGGUCUGUGCAAAGACCGGCAUAACUGGGGUACAGAGUAGGCUAGAAAGAGACCCAGCUCACAUAUUCCUUAUCUUCUGUUUCAAAAGAUAGUCAUCGUUCAUUUUUUUUUCAUAGCAGCCUUCUCUGCAUCUAAAGGCUGAUUCCUAUAUGCAAUUCCUAUAGGUUGUUUUGUCCAUCAAGUUCCAGUAAAAUCUACAAAGAAUGCUCAUGCCUUGGGGGAACUUCUGAUAUUUUGCAUGUGUUAGCUUUAGCCCUUUCUUGAGCUCCUGGGCCCACCCACUCUGGUCUUCUGUGGAGGAAAGGCCUGAAAGGCAGGUAAAUUAUACCCACAUCAGGAGGGACUAUAGCUCCUUUGUGACUUCUCCCUGUGAUGGUCUGUGAUUCCAUUUGGUAGCCACAGAUUUGGGUUCUGCCCCUGGCUUUGCCACUUAUUAACUUGUGCCCUUGGAGCAGAUUAGUUAACACUGCUCAGUUUCCAUGACUGUAAAAUGAAACAUAUCUUACAUAUACAAACAAGAUCAAGUGAUGUGAAAUAUGCAAAGCCCCAACUUUCAUGGAUAAAGAGUUUUUUGGUUUCUGGGAUAAUACUACUGGCUAUACUACCGGAGAGUAGUUGUGCUUCGCUCCUGGAGAGUUGAUUGUGCUUAGUUUUGUAAAAAAAAAAAAAAAAAAAAAAAAAAAAGUAGUGCAGGGGCUACAAACUAGAAUCAUCUCUGGACUCAUUAGAAUGCAGAUUCCAUGCCUGUAGCCCAAUGGUUUGAGUAAGAGUCUCUAGAGGGUGGGAUCCAGGAACUCGUAUUUUUAGAAACACCUCGUGACUCUCACACCCUUCAGAAUUUGAGGAGCGCUGGGUUAGCCAACAACCUUUCCCGCUCCGUGAUGCGCUUUCCUUCCUGGUGCGUUAUAGCCACAUCUAGAGAAUUCUAGGCUCUCUACUUGCAGGUUCUUCUCAUCCCGGUGGAGUCCGUCUUUGAGCCUAUUAACUCUCCCAGCUUAUAAGCAGUCCUUCUUAUGGUAGGCCCCACAUGGUUGGGUAACCUAAAUAAUGUGAUAAUGAGAAGGGACCAAAGGUCACAAGAUUGUUAACACGUGUGAGGGGAUUGUAGGCUUAGCUUAUCAGGUGAGGGAAAGGUUAGCACACCAACUGUAUCCACACUUCAAAGCCUGCGGAUAGUUUGCUGCGCUAACUUAAUUAUCUGUGCUAUUGAUAUCUUUGAUGAACAUGUCUAUACCCCGGAUACAGUUACUUCACAGUAGGAGAUAGCAGGAGGUGGCUUGUUCGGUUGCCAACUUCCUAAAAUGCUUUUUAGAGUCAGCUGGGUUGCUUAGGCCUCUCUUGCUCUUGGAUUAAAUAUAAAAAUAACUAUGUAAAGCAUAUCAACCCUCUUUUCCCUGUCUGCUGAAACUGCAAUCUCCUGUGCUUUUUCUAGAACCCAUUAAAGAAGGAGGAGGAGAGGAGGGGUGACAAUAUGUAAAACCCCAAAGCCCACAGCAGAUAUUUGCCCAGGACGGAUCCCGCUGUUGGCUCUCAGCUGAGGGAGAAGAGAAGCCGGUCACCUGAGUACAUACUAGUUCCUUUUUGACUGGCCGGGGGGUUGAUUAGGGAACCAUGAGCCUUGUGUCUAUGUUCUUUCUUCUCUCUGGAGCCACGUUAGUCAACUGACCUCUCCGCCAGAAGCUUGGAAGGGAAAGAAACGCAACCCAAAUCAGAGCUCAAAACUGAACAUGUCAGCAGUGAGCAGCCACCCAGCUUUGUAAAGAAUGCCACGGCUGACAACUUCACAGCUGCUGAGGAAUCGGCUGAGCCUUUCUCGUAAAGCAGUACCAUACACAAGAGCCUUUGUGCCAUGGGGACCCUCCAUGGGGUUUCCAAAUGCCCUUACUCCUGGAAAAUGUGCCAACCCCUCCUUACCACGUGGCCCCAAUCUCUGAUGGUAAUUACCAUGACUGUAACCAGCCCUUUGGUAGCUCUUGGAAGAUCACAAAAAGACUCUUCUAUACUAUCAGAGUGACAGAACAGAACAAAAACCACCACCAUAUUUUAGGAACGAGACCAUUAACUUAUUUAUCCUGUCACUCAGAUUGUUUGGAACAAAAGAAAUAAUUUGGGGGACACAUAUAAAAGCUUUGUUUUAAUAUUCUUGAAUAAUUCUGUAGAGGUCUAAUGACUGGAACGAGAAUUGCACGAUUUUUCUACAGCGUUGUGAGUUUUUUUUUUUUUUUUUUUUUGGCAACUGCUUUGAGACAUGUAAUUUUGCUCUGAUUAAGGAAGAAUGAGCGAAGAAAGAUGAAAGAAAGGGAUCUCUUGUUCGCCAUGUCCAUCUCCAGGUGGCCUAUUUAUUUUCAUCAAAAUUCCCAUAAUAUGCAAGAGCCCUCUUAGUGAUUAAGGGUGAUUAGCCCAUGGAUUCUGGCUGGAAGACAUAGGAUUCCUUAACCAACUGCCCCAAAAUGCCUCUGAGAAACCAUUUAAGGAAUGCCCUGUUGUUGUCAACUAUCACAGGCAAUCAGAUCAUGGUCCUCAUUUCGCCCCACCCCUAUAACCAACUGUCCUUUCCUCCGAGUGCUUAUUUGGUCAUUGACCAUCAGUAACCCUCCUUAGGAGUCUGGAAAUGAUCCAAGUCAAGGAGAGCUUAUGGUUUGUUUGAAGGACUCUUGGAUAUUUUGUCAAUGCCAUUAUUAAAUACCUGGUUGAGCACACAGAUCUCUCUUUGAUCACUUUGGAAAGGUGUGGGUGACACAGUAACAUUGUAACAUGUAUGUGACGUAUGGUUAUUACUCAUGUUGCGACAAGGAAUUCAUUUGGAAGAAUUUACAGAUGGAGGUUCCCUUGAUGUUGAUGCGUUCAGUCACUAUGAAACUUGCCCCAGCAUCCCCUUCAGGGUUCCCCAAUGUGCCUUCAAAUAUGUGCAGAUUACUUUCUGUACCUCAUCUUAAAUUCGGUCUGUUUUGAAUCAUCCCAAUUCAUCCUGUGACACUUCCUCAAACAUUGCAUGAACACUUUCUUUAUAGUUUUUAAAGUCUAAUCUCAAUAUCCAAGGUAUAUUUCCAUUUUACAUUCUUAGUGUGUCUUCCCGUACACCUUGAAAUGAUUCUAACGGGGUAUUUUAUUCAAAAUGCUUUCCCUGCUCUUGCCAUUGUUAUAGUCAUGAAACUUUUGAGCAUUUUGUCAACGGGAAAUAGGCCUCCUGAUGAGUUAAGUUGCUUUUGCAGAGUGCCACUUAGCUGCUUAAAAGCAUGGUCAGUACAUAAGCCAGCUCUCUUGUCUCUCAGGUCAAGUCCUAUCCUGUAUGGCUCUUUUCUCUGUCCCCUCAAUCCAGAAAAUGGCACAGUGACUGUCUCAGUCACAUAAGUAGAGGAUGGCCAUGCCGGUGGGCAUGUGUUCACUCAUAAUCAUUGCCCUUUUAAUUUGAGGCUCUAACAGAUGGAAAAUUAGUUGGAUGUUGCAGUAACAGCAAAAAUAAUGUUGGC